rnacentral:rRNA from 1 species
GACGAACGCUGGCGGCGUGCUUAACACAUGCAAGUCGAACGGAAAGGCCCUGCUUUUGUGGGGUGCUCGAGUGGCGAACGGGUGAGUAACACGUGAGUAACCUGCCCUUGACUUUGGGAUAACUUCAGGAAACUGGGGCUAAUACCGGAUAGGAGCUCCUGCUGCAUGGUGGGGGUUGGAAAGUUUCGGCGGUUGGGGAUGGACUCGCGGCUUAUCAGCUUGUUGGUGGGGUAGUGGCUUACCAAGGCUUUGACGGGUAGCCGGCCUGAGAGGGUGACCGGCCACAUUGGGACUGAGAUACGGCCCAGCCUCCUACGGGAGGCAGCAGUGGGGAAUAUUGCACAAUGGGCGGAAGCCUGAUGCAGCAACGCCGCGUGCGGGAUGACGGCCUUCGGGUUGUAAACCGCUUUCGCCUGUGACGAAGCGUGAGUGACGGUAAUGGGUAAAGAAGCACCGGCUAACUACG